AGUUCGAUCAUGGCUCAGAUUGAACGCUGGCGGGAUGCUUUACACAUGCAAGUCGAACGGCAGCACGGACUCGGUCUGGUGGCGAGUGGCGAACGGGUGAGUAAUGUAUCGGAACGUGCCUAGUAGCGGGGAUAACUACGCGAAAGUUGCAGCUAAUACCGCAUACGCCCUUCGGGGAAAGCGGGGACCUUCGGGCCUCGCACUAUUAGAGCGGCCGAUACCGGAUUAGCUAGCUGGUGGGGUAACGGCUCACCAGUGACGAUCCGUAGCCGGUUUGAGAGAGGACGACCAGCCACACUGGGACUGAGACACGGCCUGUGACUUACGGGAGGCAGCAGUGUAAUUUGGACAAUGAACCUUUUCGAUCCAGCCAUCCCGCGUGUGCGAUGAAGGCCUUCGGGUUGUAAAGCAUUUUUGGCAGGAAGAAACGGCACGGAUAAUACCCCCGUGCAACUGACGGUACCGUGGGAAUAAGCACCGGCUAACUACGUGCCGGCAGCCGCGGUAAUGGCUGCAGGGUGCAAGCGUUAAUCGGAAUUACUGGGCGCAAGCGUGCGCAGGCGGUUCGGAAAGAAAGAUGUGAAAUCCCAGAGCUUAACUUUGAACUGCAUUUAACUACCGGAGUCAGAGGUCGAGGGUGUGGACUCGCGGCAGUGAAAUGCGUAGAUAUGCGGAGGAACACCGAUGGCGAAGGCAGCCUCCUGGGAUAACACUGACGCUCAUGCACGAAAGCGUGGGGAGCAAACAGGAUUAGAUACCCUGCAGUCCACGCCCUAAACGAUGCUCACCAGCUGUUAAAUGGCCUGGUAGCGCAAGCACGGCGUGAAGUUGACCGCCUGGGGAGUACGGUCGCAAGAUUAAAACUCAAAGGAAUUAUCGGGGACUCGCACAAGCGGUGGAUGAUGUGGAUUAAUUCGAUGCAACGCGAAAACCUUACCUACCCUUGACAUGUCUGGAAUCCCGAAGAGAUUUUAGAGUGCUCGCAAGAGAACCGGAACACAGGUGCUGCAUGGCUGUCGUCAGCUCGUGUCGUGAGAUGUUGGGUUAAGUCCUUGCAACGAGCGCAACCCUUGUCAUUAGUUACGAAAGGGCACUCUUAAUGAGACUGCCGGUGACAAACCGGAGGAAGGUGGGGAUGACGUCAAGUCCUCAUGGCCCUUAUGGGUAGGGCUUCACACGUCAUACAAUGGUCGGGACAGAGGUCGCCAACCCGCGAGGGGGAGCCAAUCCCAGAAACCCGAUCGUAGUCCGAUCGCAGUCUGCAACUCGACUGCGUGAAGUCGGAAUCGCUAGUAAUCGCGGAUCAGCAUGUCGCGGUGAAUACGUUCCUGGUCUUGUACACACCGCCCGUCACACCAUGGAGUGGGUUUUACCAGAAGUAGUUAGCCUAACCGUAAGGAGGGCGAUUACCACGGUAGGAUUCAUGACUGGGGUGAAGUCGUAACAAGGUAG
rnacentral:rRNA from 1 species